rnacentral:rRNA from 1 species
UUUGGUUAAGUUAGAAAGGGCGCACGGUGGAUGCCUUGACACUAGGAGUCGAUGAAGGACGGGACUAACGCCGAUAUGCUUCGGGGAGCUGUAAGUAAGCUUUGAUCCGAAGAUUUCCGAAUGGGGAAACCCACCAUACGUAAUGGUAUGGUAUCCUUAUCUGAAUACAUAGGGUAAGGAAGACAGACCCAGGGAACUGAAACAUCUAAGUACCUGGAGGAAGAGAAAGCAAAUGCGAUUUCCUGAGUAGCGGCGAGCGAAACGGAACAUAGCCCAAACCAAGAGGCUUGCCUCUUGGGGUUGUAGGACAUUCUAUACGGAGUUACAAAGGAACGAGGUAGACGAAGCGACCUGGAAAGGUCCGUCGUAGAGGGUAACAACCCCGUAGUCGAAACUUCGUUCUCUCUUGAAUGUAUCCUGAGUACGGCGGAACACGUGAAAUUCCGUCGGAAUCUGGGAGGACCAUCUCCCAAGGCUAAAUACUCCCUAGUGAUCGAUAGUGAACCAGUACCGUGAGGGAAAGGUGAAAAGCACCCCGGAAGGGGAGUGAAAGAGAUCCUGAAACCGUGUGCCUACAAAUAGUCAGAGCCCGUUAACGGGUGAUGGCGUGCCUUUUGUAGAAUGAACCGGCGAGUUACGAUCCCGUGCGAGGUUAAGCUGAAGAGGCGGAGCCGCAGCGAAAGCGAGUCUGAAUAGGGCGUUUAGUACGUGAUCGUAGACCCGAAACCAGGUGAUCUACCCAUGUCCAGGGUGAAGUUCAGGUAACACUGAAUGGAGGCCCGAACCCACGCACGUUGAAAAGUGCGGGGAUGAGGUGUGGGUAGCGGAGAAAUUCCAAUCGAACCUGGAGAUAGCUGGUUCUCCCCGAAAUAGCUUUAGGGCUAGCCUUAAGUGUAAGAGUCUUGGAGGUAGAGCACUGAUUGGACUAGGGGUCCUCAUCGGAUUACCGAAUUCAGUCAAACUCCGAAUGCCAAUGACUUAUCCUUAGGAGUCAGACUGCGAGUGAUAAGAUCCGUAGUCAAAAGGGAAACAGCCCAGACCGCCAGCUAAGGUCCCAAAGUGUGUAUUAAGUGGAAAAGGAUGUGGAGUUGCUUAGACAACUAGGAUGUUGGCUUAGAAGCAGCCACCAUUUAAAGAGUGCGUAAUAGCUCACUAGUCGAGUGACUCUGCGCCGAAAAUGUACCGGGGCUAAAUACACCACCGAAGCUGCGGAUUGAUACCGAAUGGUAUCAGUGGUAGGGGAGCGUUCUAAGGACAGUGAAGUCAGACCGGAAGGACUGGUGGAGUGCUUAGAAGUGAGAAUGCCGGUAUGAGUAGCGAAAGACGGGUGAGAAUCCCGUCCACCGAAUGCCUAAGGUUUCCUGAGGAAGGCUCGUCCGCUCAGGGUUAGUCAGGACCUAAGCCGAGGCCGACAGGCGUAGGCGAUGGACAACAGGUUGAUAUUCCUGUACCACCUCUUUAUCGUUUGAGCAAUGGAGGGACGCAGAAGGAUAGAAGAAGCGUGCGAUUGGUUGUGCACGUCCAAGCAGUUAGGCUGAUAAGUAGGCAAAUCCGCUUAUCGUAAAGGCUGAGCUGUGAUGGGGAAGCUCCUUAUGGAGCGAAGUCUUUGAUUCCCCGCUGCCAAGAAAAGCUUCUAGCGAGAUAAAAGGUGCCUGUACCGCAAACCGACACAGGUAGGCGAGGAGAGAAUCCUAAGGUGUGCGAGAGAACUCUGGUUAAGGAACUCGGCAAAAUGACCCCGUAACUUCGGGAGAAGGGGUGCUUUCUUAACGGAAAGCCGCAGUGAAUAGGCCCAAGCGACUGUUUAGCAAAAACACAGCUCUCUGCGAAGCCGUAAGGCGAAGUAUAGGGGGUGACACCUGCCCGGUGCUGGAAGGUUAAGGAGAGGGGUUAGCGUAAGCGAAGCUCUGAACUGAAGCCCCAGUAAACGGCGGCCGUAACUAUAACGGUCCUAAGGUAGCGAAAUUCCUUGUCGGGUAAGUUCCGACCCGCACGAAAGGUGUAACGAUUUGGGCACUGUCUCAACCAGAGACUCGGUGAAAUUAUAGUACCUGUGAAGAUGCAGGUUACCCGCGACAGGACGGAAAGACCCCGUGGAGCUUUACUGUAGCCUGAUAUUGAAUUUUGGUACAGUUUGUACAGGAUAGGCGGGAGCCUUUGAAACCGGAGCGCUAGCUUCGGUGGAGGCGCUGGUGGGAUACCGCCCUGACUGUAUUGAAAUUCUAACCUACGGGUCUUAUCGACCCGGGAGACAGUGUCAGGUGGGCAGUUUGACUGGGGCGGUCGCCUCCUAAAGUGUAACGGAGGCGCCCAAAGGUUCCCUCAGAAUGGUUGGAAAUCAUUCGUAGAGUGCAAAGGCAUAAGGGAGCUUGACUGCGAGACCUACAAGUCGAGCAGGGACGAAAGUCGGGCUUAGUGAUCCGGUGGUUCCGCAUGGAAGGGCCAUCGCUCAACGGAUAAAAGCUACCCCGGGGAUAACAGGCUUAUCUCCCCCAAGAGUCCACAUCGACGGGGAGGUUUGGCACCUCGAUGUCGGCUCAUCGCAUCCUGGGGCUGUAGUCGGUCCCAAGGGUUGGGCUGUUCGCCCAUUAAAGCGGUACGCGAGCUGGGUUCAGAACGUCGUGAGACAGUUCGGUCCCUAUCCGUCGUGGGCGUAGGAAAUUUGAGAGGAGCUGUCCUUAGUACGAGAGGACCGGGAUGGACGCACCGCUGGUGUACCAGUUGUUCUGCCAAGGGCAUAGCUGGGUAGCUAUGUGCGGAAGGGAUAAGUGCUGAAAGCAUCUAAGCAUGAAGCCCCCCUCAAGAUGAGAUUUCCCAUAGCGUAAGCUAGUAAGAUCCCUGAAAGAUGAUCAGGUUGAUAGGUUCGAGGUGGAAGCAUGGUGACAUGUGGAGCUGACGAAUACUAAUAGAUCGAGGACUUAACCAUAUAA